rnacentral:rRNA from 1 species
UACAGAGGUCUCAAGCGUUGUUCGGAUUCAUUGGGCGUAAAGGGUGCGUAGGCGGCGCGGUAAGUCGGGUGUGAAAUCUCGGAGCUUAACUCCGAAACUGCAUUCGAUACUGCCGUGCUUGAGGACUGGAGAGGAGAUUGGAAUUUACGGUGUAGCGGUGAAAUGCGUAGAUAUGCGGAGGAACACCGAUGGCGAAGGCAAUCCCCUGGGCCUGCACUGACGCUCAUGCACGAAAGCGUGGGGAGCAAACAGG